GUUUGGCUUAACCGGGGGGCAUUAAUAUGUUGAAUUAGUGCGGCCACAACAUCUUCAUCUAAAAAAGAAAUGCGUUCUAGCGUUGCAUUACUGCAAAAUUGUGAAAAUUCAGGGUCUGGAUUUUGAAAACUGCAUUAUAGCUUAAAUAUAGGCAAUUUCAUUUCUAAGAUGCUUCAGAUCAAAUGCAAUUUACCGGUUAUGGGUAAUGAGCUUGAAAUGAAAAGAACUCUCAGAUGGCGUCCAUUGAGAGAGAGAUGAAAGAGUUUUGCAACCUCUUUCAGCCCCCUUAAACAUUGCUAUUUAAUUUGUCGUAACAAUGAUGUUGUCAGUAUCCAAUUCUAAAUGUCGAUUGAUGUCUUUCUGACCCAUACAUUUACCAUAGGAUGAUUUAAAUUAAGUGUUAUUACCUUACUAUGCCAUUGUCUAUCUACUUAUCUCCUGAAACCAUGGAUGAUGUAAUUGGUAACUUGCAGCUCAAUAUCACGUUCACGUCCAAA
rnacentral:misc_RNA from 1 species